CCUACGGGAGGCAGCAGUGGGGAAUAUUGGGCAAUGGGCGCAAGCCUGACCCAGCAACGCCGCGUGAAGGAAGAAGGCCCUCGGGUUGUAAACUUCUUUUGACAGGGACGAAAAAAAUGACGGUAACUGACGAAUAAGCCACGGCUAACUACGGGCCAGCAGCCGCGGUAAUACGUAGGGGGCAAGCGGUAUCCGGAUUUACUGGGUGUAAAGGGCGUGUAGGCGGGCGGGCAAGGCAGAUGUGAACUUCCAGGGCUCAACCCUGGAACUGCAUUUGAAACUGUUUUUCUUGAGUGAUGGAGAGGCAGUCGUCAUUCCGUUUGUAGCGGUGAAAUGCGUAGAUAUACGGAGGAACACCAGUGGCGAAGGUGGCCUGCUGGACAUUAACUGACGCUGAGGCGCGACAGCGUGGGGAGCAAACAGGAUUAGAUACCCCAGUAGUC
rnacentral:rRNA from 1 species